UUCGAGAGAACAACAGGGAUUGCCCCAGUAACGGCGAGUGAAGCGGCAGGAGCUCAAAUUUGAAAUCUGGGGUCGCCGACCUCCGAGUUGUAAUUUGGAGAGGCAUCUUCGGGGUGGAGCGCCGGCCCCAUGUUCCUUGGAACAGGACGUCGCAGAGGGUGAGAAUCCCGUGCCAGGCCGGCCGCCUCCGCCCCAUCGAGGGGCCUUCGACGAGUCGAGUUGUUUGGGAAUGCAGCUCCAAGUGGGUGGUAAAUUUCAUCUAAAGCUAAAUACCGGCGGGAGACCGAUAGCGCACAAGUAGAGUGAUCGAAAGAUGAAAAGCACUUUGAAAAUAGAGUCAAAAAGUACGUGAAAUUGUUGAAAGGGAAGCGCUUGAGACCAGACCCAGACCCGGGCAAACACCGCGCCCCUCGGGGCCGUGCAAUUGCCCGUGGCUGGGCCAGCAUCAGUCGGCCCGGCGGGACAAAUGCGAGGGGAAUGUGUCUCCCCUCGGGGAGUGUUUAUUAGCCCCUCGCCCAAUGCCGCCCGAGCCGACUGUGGACCGCGCCUCGGCUAGGAUGCUGGCUUAAUGGCCUUCAGCGACCCGUCUUGAAACACGGACCAAGGAGUCUAACAUCUAUGCGAGUGUUUGGGCUUCAAACCCUUGCGCGGAAUGAAAGUGAGCGGAGGUGGGAACCCCCCAGCGGGGCGCACCAUCGACCGAUCCUGAUGUCCUCGGAUGGAUUUGAGUAGGAGCAUAGCUGUUGGGACCCGAAAGAUGGUGAACUAUGCCUGAAUAGGGUGAAGCCAGAGGAAACUCUGGUGGAGGCUCGCAGCGGUUCUGACGUGCAAUCGAUCGUCAAUUUGGUAUAGGGGCGAAGACAAUCGAACUCUAUAGUGUCUC
rnacentral:rRNA from 1 species